GACCUACAGUAAUCCACACUAAGGCAACGAACCAGACCUUUUAACGAAUCUCUUUACCUGGGGCAGCCAGAACUUGAUUGUCGGCGGGGACUUCAAUUUAGUGGUCGACCCAUCCAUGGACAGAUCUAGGGUAAGAGAGACAUGUUUUGCUUGCUUGAGGAAGAAUAUUGGAAAGACAAUACCAACAGAGCCAUCCCAUAUCCCUCCUACAGACAGACCUUUUCAGAUACAUCCAUCCGGAAAAGACAUCAGCCCUACACAAAAUGUUUAUGUGAAUGUAUUUUAUAUAUGUGUCUUAUCUUCAUCUCUGCAACCUCCAGUUAAUGGCACACAUAGUCGACAGGUGAUAUCCACAUAUACUAGCACUCACAUAUGUUUCCCCCUCCAUGUAUCAUCAACUAAAUGUGCACCCCAUUUGAUGGAACAAGAAGCCGAAAAGAGCUCAGUAGUGUUUGUUGUCCCAUUUACAGACCCUUAAUACGGGAUGAGAAGGAUUUAAUGUAUACUUCGCAAUACCUUGAAGCUUAUCUAGAACAUAUACGGCACGAUGAUACAUGCCCCUCAGACAUGGAUUCAUACAUACAUGCUUUUUACUAUCCCACUAGGUCAUACAUUUCCCACCUACAACUCUUCCCCAAUCAUCCAAGCUUUUGAAUAUAUUGUAUAGGUAAUAUUUUUUUCCUGUUUAUUGAUUAGUUAGUGGCAGUUAUUGAUGACUGCCAAAGGGUGGACUGUCGAAGUCAGAAAAAUAUUACAACACACACAUUACGUAUAAACACCACAUAGAUGGCCUCCGUGUGCGUACAUGUUCGGCUGUGCGUGCACAUAUUCGCAAAUUGCGUAUGGUCGCUCCCGCGGUCCUGCGCAUUAGAGCGUGGUAUGAGUAAUUACAGUGGAAUUUGUACUCGCAUGGAAAAGCCACAAAGACAUAUCAUAAAUCUAAUCUAUAUAUUACAUAAAUCCCACACUGUCUGCUUUUUCUUCUAAAUAGCAUGAAGAUCGGUCACACAUAAAUUAAAACUCCCAGAGACUAAAAUACAAUGGCCUUAUUUACACUAAAAAAUAUAUAGAGAUAGUCUGGCGCUAUUGUUACUGCAAGAGUGCCUGCUGCUACGUUCCAAAGACUUGGUUCAUAGCCUAAAAAUAGACAAAGAAGAAACACACAAAAAAGAACAGCGCUGGCACUUUUACACUACAAAGUCAUUGAUUUAAUAUCAUAUAUUAAAAUACAUCUUACACACCCAUACCAUAUAAAACAAUUAAAGUAUAUGACAAUUAAGCUAUAUAGCUUGCAGGAUAAAUCCUGCUUUAUAUACCGAACCAAAGAACUUUUAACUGUUCCUCACUAAUUACUUAUAUAUGUACAGCUGGAUAUUUAAGCUAUAUAUAUAAUUCCUAAAAAAUUGUAAUAGCAGGAGUAUGUGUGUGUGUGUGUGUAUACAUAUAUAUAUAUAUAUAUAUAUAUAUAUAUGAGUAUAUGGAUAUAUGGGGAUAUAUGUAUAUCUUGAGGAUGGAAAUAGAUAAUCAUAUCAUGUGUGGGAUCAUAUUGUUCAGAGACAAAUCUGAUGGGAAUAGGAAUAUUAUUAUAUAUUACCACAUUAAGUUAUUAAUAAUACCAGAUUUAUGUAUGAUUAAUGUGAUGGGUUUAACUGGUCAUGGGGCAGGAACUCAGAUGCAAACAACAGAAACCACAUCUCAAGUCCUAGCCAUCGCCCACUUCUUGAGCUGACCAAUGAUCUCCAGUGCACAGGAUAUGUCCCACCCCCGAACCAAUGGAAGAAGAGCACACAGUGUCUAUUAUAUUAUGUUUUGAUCUACUGUAUAAAAGAUACCUGCUGCAGGCCUGGUCACACAAGACUCACAAAAUUAUCUAUCUAGAUGACCGAGGACCAGACUUGGUAGCGCGGCGAAAUCCAAACAAGUAUGUAUCAUUGACUGUAGCCAUUAUUCUUUUGGAUUGUAUUGCUUUGUUAUUGUAACCCCCCUUUCAGUAAUAAUACGCUGUGGUGUCGGAACCCAGUAGUUUAAUUACAAUCUGGUGUUGUGUCUUCCUUUCCCUGCUAAGGUUUAAAGUGUAUUAUUAUCGCAUUGCAUAACUGUUAAGGGUUCACGGUGUAUCAUUGGGUGUGUACGCGCUGUGUGUACUUUGUAAAGCCAGCGCGGCGUUUGUACGCAAAGUCCGUACUCGGUACGGGACUCUGUACGCUAACGGUGUAAAAAGUCUGUAGGUUGCAGAUUAAGUAUAGCGCCCGCAGCGGCUUCAUUUAAAGUGUAUGAAAUGUCUUUUUAAAGUGUUGCUUUUAGUCCUGUAUGAAAAUCAGCAUUCUCAACCCCCUACGCUGUCACUAGCUACUUCUAGACUACUCUUCCUAUUCACGAUGGACUGGCUGGAAAUGACUCUAAAUAAAGAAACACUGAGUCCUACAUUAUUCCAAUGCUGGGGACGAUUUAUAAACCGAUUGCCCACCCUGACGAAAUUGGCUAUUAAGCAGGGCUUCCAAUGUCCCACAUGGUACGGCCAUCAACUCCUGACUGAUAAUCCUCCCAUCUCUCUCCCGUGACUACAUAAUUCUCUCAUCUUCCUUAUCUUUCCCAUUUCCCCCUCCUCACUGCUACACUGCUUGCUGCAGCUUCCCUUAGCUUUCCUCGCUUCCCCCCCGCUACAUUUUAUCCAUGCGUCUCCGUUGUCUACAUGCUUUCUCUCGCUCUGAUGAUGUCUCCAUGGAUGGGUCGGCGAUCCCUAUGCCCCGGCAGGUACUGUUUUUCCUAUGUUUUUCUAUUUUGUUUUUUUUGUUUUAUUAGUUUUUCGUUCUCCACUGGGGAGAACGCAUUAGUAUGUUGAACUGUUUAUACUGUUUGUAUUUUUGUUUUUGUAUCUGAUUGACGAGCAGUAUUUUUGUGGAGUGGCUUUUUUCAUAAUUCUUGCAAUUGUUUCGUCUACAGCUCGGUUAUUAUAUAUUAGAAAAUGGAAAAAGUGAGGUUUUCUUCUAGGCACUGAUAUCCAUAUGAUUAGAAAGUAUCUGUCGCAAUAUAUUUCUGUAUUAGGCUGGAUUCUAUGGCUACUUAUG